rnacentral:rRNA from 1 species
AAAUUGAAGAGUUUGAUCAUGGCUCAGAUUGAACGCUGGCGGCAGGCCUAACACAUGCAAGUCGAACGGUAACAGGAAGCAGCUUGCUGCUUCGCUGACGAGUGGCGGACGGGUGAGUAAUGUCUGGGAACUGGCCUGUGGGAG